rnacentral:ncRNA from 12 species
CAGUUUGGUAGAGCACCUGCUUUGGGAGCAGGGGGUCGUAGGUUCGAAUCCUGUUAUC